rnacentral:rRNA from 1 species
GAAGCGGGGGAUAACACCUGGAAACAGAUGCUAAUACCGCAUAACAACUUGGACCGCAUGGUCCGAGCUUGAAAGAUGGCUUCGGCUAUCACUUUUGGAUGGUCCCGCGGCGUAUUAGCUAGAUGGUGGGGUAACGGCUCACCAUGGCAAUGAUACGUAGCCGACCUGAGAGGGUAAUCGGCCACAUUGGGACUGAGACACGGCCCAAACUCCUACGGGAGGCAGCAGUAGGGAAUCUUCCACAAUGGACGAAAGUCUGAUGGAGCAACGCCGCGUGAGUGAAGAAGGGUUUCGGCUCGUAAAACUCUGUUGUUAAAGAAGAACAUAUCUGAGAGUAACUGUUCAGGUAUUGACGGUAUUUAACCAGAAAGCCACGGCUAACUACGUGCCAGCAGCCGCGGUAAUACGUAGGUGGC